rnacentral:rRNA from 1 species
UACGUAGGGUGCGAGCGUUGUCCGGAAUUAUUGGGCGUAAAGGGCUCGUAGGCGGUUUGUCGCGUCGGGAGUGAAAUCCACUGGCUUAACUGGUGGCUUGCUUUCGAUACGGGCAGACUGGAGGUAUGCAGGGGAGAACGGAAUUCCUGGUGUAGCGGUGAAAUGCGCAGAUAUCAGGAGGAACACCGGUGGCGAAGGCGGGUCUCUGGGCCAUUACUGACGCUGAGGAGCGAAAGCGUGGGGAGCGAACAGG